UACGUAGGCAGCGAGCGUUGUUCGGAGUUACUGGGCGUAAAGGGUGUGUAGGCGGUUGUUUAAGUUUGGUGUGAAAUCUCCCGGCUCAACUGGGAGGGUGCGCCGAAUACUGAAUGACUUGGAGUGCGGGAGAGGAGACUGGAAUUCCUGGUGUAGCGGUGAAAUGCGUAGAUAUCAGGAGGAACACCGGUGGUGUAGACGGCUCUCUGGACCGUAACUGACGCUGAGACACGAAAGCGUGGGUAGCAAACAGG
rnacentral:rRNA from 1 species